AAAGAAUGCGGCUGCUUACACAUGCAAGUCGAGGGGUAUAGGAAGCUUGCUUUUUUGAGACCGGCGCACGGGUGCGUAACGCGUAUGCAAUCUACCUUUCACAGAGGGAUAGCCCAGAGAAAUUUGGAUUAAUACCUCAUAGUAAUACGACUUGGUUUCAAUAUGUAUUUAAAGAUUUAUCGGUGAAAGAUGAGCAUGCGUCCCAUUAGCUAGUUGGUAUGGUAACGGCAUACCAAGGCUACGAUGGGUAGGGGUCCUGAGAGGGAGAUCCCCCACACUGGUACUGAGACACGGACCAGACUCCUACGGGAGGCAGCAGUGAGGAAUAUUGGACAAUGGGCGCAAGCCUGAUCCAGCCAUGCCGCGUGCAGGAUGACGGUCCUAUGGAUUGUAAACUGCUUUUAUACAGGAAGAAACACCUCUACGUGUAGAGACUUGACGGUACUGUAAGAAUAAGGAUCGGCUAACUCCGUGCCAGCAGCCGCGGUAAUACGGAGGAUCCAAGCGUUAUCCGGAAUCAUUGGGUUUAAAGGGUCCGUAGGCGGUCAGGUAAGUCAGUGGUGAAAGCCCAUCGCUCAACGGUGGAACGGCCAUUGAUACUGCUUGACUUGAAUUAUUAGGAAGUAACUAGAAUAUGUAGUGUAGCGGUGAAAUGCUUAGAGAUUACAUGGAAUACCAAUUGCGAAGGCAGGUUACUACUAAUAUAUUGACGCUGAUGGACGAAAGCGUGGGUAGCGAACAGGAUUAGAUACCCUGGUAGUCCACGCCGUAACGAUGGAUACUAGCUGUUGGGAGCAAUCUCAGUGGCUAAGCGAAAGUGAUAAGUAUCCCACCUGGGGAGUACGAACGCAAGUUUGAAACUCAAAGGAAUUGACGGGGGCCCGCACAAGCGGUGGAGCAUGUGGUUUAAUUCGAUGAUACGCGAGGAACCUUACCAAGGCUUAAAUGUAGAUUGACCGGUUUGGAAACAGAUCUUCGCAGACAAUUUACAAGUGCUGCAUGGUUGUCGGUCAGCUCGUGCCGUGAGGUGUCAGGUGAGUCCUAUACGAGCGCAACCCCCUGUGUAGUGCCAGCGAGUCAUGUCGGGAACUCUACGAGACUGCCAGUGCAACUGGUGAGAAAGGUGGGAUGACGUCGAGUCAUCACGGCCUACGCCUGGCUUACCACCGUGCUUACAUGCCCGUACAGAAGCAUCCAUGGACGACAGACCGAAUCUUACGAACCCGUUCACAGUUCGAAUCCGA
rnacentral:rRNA from 1 species